rnacentral:rRNA from 1 species
GACGAACGCUGGCGGCGUGCUUAACACAUGCAAGUCGAACGGAAAGGCCCCAGCUUGCUGGGGUACUCGAGUGGCGAACGGGUGAGUAACAUGUGGGUGAUCUGCCCUGCACUCUGGGAUAAGCCUGGGAAACUGGGUCUAAUACCGGAUAGGACCGUGCCUUAGUGUGUGCGGUGGAAAGUUUUUCGGUGCAGGAUGAGCCCGCGGCCUAUCAGCUUGUUGGUGGGGUAAUGGCCUACCAAGGCGGCGACGGGUAGCCGGCCUGAGAGGGUGUACGGCCACAUUGGGACUGAGACACGGCCCAGACUCCUACGGGAGGCAGCAGUGGGGAAUAUUGCACAAUGGGCGCAAGCCUGAUGCAGCGACGCCGCGUGGGGGAUGACGGCCUUCGGGUUGUAAACCCCUUUCGGCAGGGACGAAGCUUUUGUGACGGUACCUGCAUAAGAAGCACCGGCUAACUACGUG